rnacentral:tRNA from 1 species
AUUCGGCUUUUACCGAUUGGUUCCGGGUUCGAGUCCCGGGCAACCCA